ACGCUCGACACCUACGGGAGGCAGCAGUGAGGGAUAUUGGUCAAUGGGGGAAACCCUGAACCAGCAACGCCGCGUGAGGGAUGACGGUCUUCGGAUUGUAAACCUCUGUCCUCUGUGAAGAUAAUGACGGUAGCAGAGGAGGAAGCUCCGGCUAACUACGUGUCAGCAGCCGCGGUAAUCUGAGCGGGCUGGCAAGGC
rnacentral:rRNA from 1 species